rnacentral:rRNA from 1 species
AUUGAACGCUGGCGGCAGGCCUAACACAUGCAAGUCGAACGGUAACAGGAAGCAGCUUGCUGCUUCGCUGACGAGUGGCGGACGGGUGAGUAAUGUCUGGGAAGCUGCCUGAUGGAGGGGGAUAACUACUGGAAACGGUAGCUAAUACCGCAUAAUGUCGCAUGACCAAAGAGGGGGACCUUCGGGCCUCUUGCCAUCGGAUGUGCCCAGAUGGGAUUAGCUUGUUGGUGGGGUAACGGCUCACCAAGGCGACGAUCCCUAGCUGGUCUGAGAGGAUGACCAGCCACACUGGGACUGAGACACGGUCCAGACUCCUACGGGAGGCAGCAGUGGGGAAUAUUGCACAAUGGGCGCAAGCCUGAUGCAGCCAUGCCGCGUGUAUGAAGAAGGCCUUCGGGUUGUAAAGUACUUUCAGCGGGGAGGAAGGGAGUAAAGUUAAUACCUUUGCUCAUUGACGUUACCCGCAGAAGAAGCACCGGCUAACUCCGUG